rnacentral:tmRNA from 1 species
GGGGGUGACCUGGCUUCGACGUGUAUCGUGAAGUCCUGGUUGCGUGCCGAGGUCUCCGAGUGCCUCGUAAAAAAAGCGGAAAAAUAGUAAUCGCGAACGAUAACUUCGCUCUGGCUGCGUAAGUCGAACCCUAGCUGGUUCCUUGCCUCCCGUCCGUCGAUCAGACCUGCCUGAGCCGGGUCGUCGGGCGUCAAUAAAUUCAGGCUGGCCCGUUCAAGCGCCGUGGUAGAUCGGGUGAGAUAACAUGGCUGGCCCACGAAAGGCUUUCUACUGGCCGACCCGAGGGCGAGACACGAAUCAGUGGAAUACGCACGUAGACGCCGGGAGGGAUCGGUAGGCGGACCGGGGUUCGAUUCCCCGCACCUCCAUUU